UUGGGCUGCACACGUGCUACAAUGGCCGGUACAAUGAGCUGCGAUACCGCGAGGUGGAGCGAAUCUCAAAAAAGCCGGUCUCAGUUCGGAUUGGGGUCUGCAACUCGACCCCAUGAAGUCGGAGUCGCUAGUAAUCGCAGAUCAGCAUUGCUGCGGUGAAUACGUUCCCGGGCCUUGUAUACACACCGCCCGUCACGUCACGAAAGUCGGUAACACCCGAAGCCGGUCGGCCCAACCCCGUUGUGGGGAGGAGCUGUCGAAGGUGGGACUGGCGAGUUGGUACGAAGUCGUAACGAAGGUA
rnacentral:ncRNA from 1 species